GGCGAGCAGAGGGGAUGGAGUUGAGCAGAGUUCACUUCAGGACAGCCCAUGGGUCAGAAGGAACUGAGGAAUGCACCCGCUGCCCAGGUUAGCAAGGGGGGCAGGACCAGAUGGCAUGGCUUCUUACCUCCCCUGCCCAAGGGGCCUGGAGCAUUGCUGCCACCCUCACUGGUGACAGGGCUGCUUGAAGUUGCAGAGCACAUCCCAUCUGGGUGGGCUUGCCGCCACUGCAACAGAGAGCCUGCGGGACCAGGCAAAUGAAGGAAGCCUUACUUGCUCAUAGCCAAGCUUCUUUUCAGGUUCUCUUUUAUAUUUUAUUGCAACCAAGAAUUCCAGGGCCAUACUUCGAGCCAGGGAUGAUGGAUGCUAAGCUCAUUAACCGCCUGCUCAGUUUGUGGACUUGUUUCUGCUGAAUCUGUAGUCCAGUCCUCUAUUCAAGGCCCACCACAGAGACACAGGAAUGGAACUCAGAAUCACAAACAAAGAAACCUCGGUCCAAGAAAGAAAAUGAUCUUUAAAAAGACCCUCGUUUCAUGCUUGCCGAUGCUGAGACAAUCGGCUCUGGAGGAUAUUUGGAGACACCGAUUAAAAGAAAUGUGGCAGCCCAAGACCCAAGCAAGGAUAGGAUUUCCCAGACAUUCCCGAGGGAGACAAUCCCAUGUGCUUUCCUUCUGAUGUCACAUCAGAAUCUGAAGGCUGCUAGAGAAGGGAGAGGCACAUGCAAGUGCAUCCCAUGCUGAUUGUUGUUGAAAUACCUGGAAAGAAACUGGCAAAGACUAUCCAAG
rnacentral:lncRNA from 1 species